rnacentral:rRNA from 1 species
GAACGCUGGCGGCGUGCUUAAGACAUGCAAGUCGAACGGUUUCUUCGGAAACAGUGGCGCUCGGGUGAGUAACACGUGCUCUGACCUACCCCGAAGUUCUGAAUAACCUGGCGAAAGUCGGGCUAAUACAGGAUGUGCAGUAUCGCUGUGGCGAUACUGCAAAGAUUUAUCGCUUUGGGAUGGGGUUGCGUUCUAUCAGCUUGUUGGUAGCUUAAAGGCCUACCAAGGCGACGACGGAUACUCGGCCUGAGACUGUGGCCGGCCACAGGGGCACUGAGACACGGGCCCCACUCCUACGGGAGGCCUGCAGUUAGGAAUCUUCCACAAUGUCGAAAGCCUGAUGGAGCGACGCCCUGUGAGGGAUGACGGUCUUCGGAUUGUAAACCUCUGAACUAGGGACGAAAGACGCGUAAGCGGGA